AGUUUGAUCCUGGCUCAGAUUGAACGCUGGCGGCAGGCCUAACACAUGCAAGUCGAACGGUAACAGGAAGCAGCUUGCUGCUUUGCUGACGAGUGGCGGACGGGUGAGUAAUGUCUGGGAAACUGCCUGAUGGAGGGGGAUAACUACUGGAAACGGUGGCUAAUACCGCAUAACGUCGCAAGACCAAAGAGGGGGACCUUCGGGCCUCUUGCCAUCAGAUGUGCCCAGAUGGGAUUAGCUUGUUGGUGAGGUAACGGCUCACCAAGGCGACGAUCCCUAGCUGGUCUGAGAGGAUGACCAGCCACACUGGAACUGAGACACGGUCCAGACUCCUACGGGAGGCAGCAGUGGGGAAUAUUGCACAAUGGGCGCAAGCCUGAUGCAGCCAUGCCGCGUGUAUGAAGAAGGCCUUCGGGUUGUAAAGUACUUUCAGCGGGGAGGAAGGUGUUGUGGUUAAUAACCGCAGCAAUUGACGUUACCCGCAGAAGAAGCACCGGCUAACUCCGUGCCAGCAGCCGCGGUAAUU
rnacentral:rRNA from 1 species